rnacentral:rRNA from 1 species
AGGCACGAAAGCGUGGGGAGCAAACAGGAUUAGAUACCCUGGUAGUCCACGCUGUAAACGAUGGUUACUAUACGUUUGUCACUGUGGUGAUGAGUGUAUAAGCGCAAGCGAUAAGUAACCCACCUGGGGAGUACGUUCGCAAGGAUGAAACUCAAAGGAAUUGACGGGGGCCCGCACAAGCGGUGGAGCAUGUGGUUUAAUUCGACGAUACGCGAGGAACCUUACCUAGGCUAGAAUGUGAGUGCCACCUGUGGAGACAUGGGGAUUUAUCGAGAGAUGACACGAAACAAGGUGCUGCAUGGUUGUCGUCAGCUCGUGCCGUGAGGUGUUGGGUUAAGUCCCGCAACGAGCGCAACCCUUGUAUUUAUUUACCAGUAUUGAGUUAGGUACUAUAAAUAGACUGCCGGCGUAAGCUGUGAGGAAGGUGGGGACGACGUCAAAUCAUCAUGGCCCUUACGCCUAGGGCUACACACGUGCUACAAUGGUAAGUACAAAGAGAUGCGAAGCAGCGAUGCGGAGCGGAUCUCAAAAAGCUUAUCUCAGUUCGGAUUGUAGUCUGCAACUCGACUACGUGAAGCUGGAAUCGCUAGUAAUCGCGGAUCAUCAUGCUGCGGUGAAUACGUUCCCGGGCCUUGUA